GCGCACGGGUGAGUAACACGUGAAUGAUCUACCUCCGAGUGGGGAAUAACCAAGAGAAAUCUUGGCUAAUACCGCAUAACACUUACGAGUCAAAGCAGCAAUGCGCUUGGAGAGGAGUUCGCGGCAGAUUAGUUAGUUGGCGGGGUAAUGGCCCACCAAGACGAUGAUCUGUAUCCGGCCUGAGAGGGCGCACGGACACACUGGAACUGAAACACGGUCCAGACUCCUACGGGAGGCAGCAGUGGGGAAUUUUGCGCAAUGGGGGAAACCCUGACGCAGCAACGCCGCGUGGAGGAUGAAGUAUCUUGGUACGUAAACUCCUUUCGAUGGGGAAGAUAAUGACGGUACCCAUAGAAGAAGCCCCGGCUAACUUCGUGCCAGCAGCCGCGGUAAUACGAGGGGGGCAAGCGUUGUUCGGAAUUAUUGGGCGUAAAGGGUGCGUAGGCGGUUUGACAAGUCUUAUGUGAAAUCUUCGGGCUCAACCCGAAGUCUGCAUGGGAAACUGUCGGGCUUGAGUAUGGGAGAGGUGAGUGGAAUUUCCGGUGUAGCGGUGAAAUG
rnacentral:rRNA from 1 species